AGCUGUGCUGCCAAAUAGUCCUGGCUGAGUGGCCUUCCUCUGGAGUGUGGCUGGCUUGUCAGAGCUGCUAUACUCUUAGAGAAAACUGACCCUUCCUUUCUCACAAAUAACAAAAGACAAUACAAGCUUCUGUCUGACACCAAAAGUUUAUGUAAGUUGUUUUGAAGCAAAUCUGCCUAGUUUUAGAAUUCCACGUUAUUUAUGGGCAUUUUUACUGUGCUGUAUUUUGUUUUGAAAUAAAGUACCUGGGGAUAGAAUUAUAGUUUUUCAUCCCCACCUCUUUUGAGGUGCUCUGGUUUCUGGGAACGAUUGAUUAGUCUGCCCCCCCCCCCCCAAGUUGUGUAGAUUUAGAAAGUGAAUUCCCAUUCUUACCAUGAAUUAUUUGAAAAGAUAAGAAAUGUGUUUUGGACUCCAGUGGCAGUAACAUCAUUGCCUCCCUUUUUAUUACUAUUGCUUUGUUGCUCUGUGCUGCAGUGUUUCACACAUCUUACCACGGUGAAUCCCAACAGCACUGUUGGUGCAGUUGCCUUAUUUUAUGUGGGGUAAACUGAGGCACAGUGAAGACACAGCAUUUCCUACCUGUGGGCUUGAAUUAGCUGUGUCCAUGUAUGCUCCUUAUGAUCUUAUUCGAUAGGACACCAUUCUUACGAACGUUGUGUUAUCUGUUGUUUUAACAAAGAAAUUCACAUUCUUUUUACAAAGAAACAGUUUUUCAAAAACCAAUUAAUUUUCUCAUCUAUAACCUAUCAGAUCUUGUUGGAAAUCUCAAGCUCUGCUUGUUAAAUUCUGUCAGCCUGGUUACAUUCAGCGUGCUAGCAGCUGUUUAAGGCACCAAUACCUACUGUUUGUCUGUGAGGUGUUUUCGCUUUUCUCCUUUUCUUGACACAAAGUCUCACUAUGCUGGUACCAAACAUAGGGCAUUUCUUUCACCUCUGUUUUUGAGCGCUGGAGUUAGAGGCCUGUACCACCAGACUUAGUGUCUCUGUCUUCUUGAAGCUUAUUCUGUUGGGAACAUAUGUGGGGGGAAAAGAACAUAGAAAUAAAUGCAUGCUUAAAAUGUUAGCAUGCACAGUACAGAUAGACAUCUGUGCAGAGAAGUGUGCUAGAUUCUAGGAAAUUGAUGUUGCCCUAAUCUCAGACAUAUGAAAUAAUAUUUCCUCUUGUUGUUCAUUGUGAAUGUUUUCCUCUUUAUUUCACUUUCUUUUUCUUUUUUUCUUUUGAGUACACUGUAGCUGUCUUCAGACACACACCAGAAGGCAGCAAGCACCACUUACACACUGACCUGGAAGUCCCAGCAGCAGCAUCACGUUUGUAUGCCUCCCGUGCUUGUCUCCUUUUCCUUGUUUUCUUUUCCCGAACCUCAGGGUGACAGAAGUGGUUUUUAGGAUACAUUUUAUGUUCCAUGCUGUGACUUUAGAAACAUGCCAAUCAAACAUCCUCUCUUUUCUUCUCCAUUCCUACUUGCGGGGAGAAUAAAUACAAGUUAAGUAGUUUAUU
rnacentral:lncRNA from 1 species